rnacentral:rRNA from 1 species
AUGCUCAGUAGCGGCGAGUGAGCGGCAAGAGCUCAGAUUUGAAAUCUCACCUAGUGUGCGAGUUGUAAAUUGCAGGUUGGAGUCUCGGGUUAGACGUGUGUGCAAGUCCCUUGGAACAGGGUGCCACUGAGGGUGAGAGCCCCGUAGCGUGCAUGUCGACACCUGUGAGGCCCUUCUGACGAGUCGAGUUGUUUGGGAAUGCAGCUCUAAGUGGGUGGUAAAUUCCAUCUAAGGCUAAAUAUUGGCGAGAGACCGAUAGCGAACAAGUACUGUGAAGGAAAGAUGAAAAGCACUUUGAAAAGAGAGUGAAACAGCACGUGAAAUUGUUGAAAGGGAAGGGUAUUGGGCUCGACAUGGGAUUUACGCAUCGUUGCCUCUCGUGGGCGGCGCUCUGGGUUUUUCCUGGGCCAGCAUCGGUUUUCGUUGCAGGAUAAGGACAAUUGGAAUGUGGCUCCUCGGAGUGUUAUAGCCUUUUGUAGAUGCUGCGUAUGGGGACCGAGGGCUGCGGCGGACUCGUUUCGUCUCGGAUGCUGGCACAACGGCGCAAUACCGCCCGUCUUGA